AUCAAAGAUCGUAUAAAGAUACGAAGAUGCAAAGUAAUUUGACAGUCCCAUGAUACUACUGUAUGCAUGCCAUGCGGACAUAGAAAACAACAUUGUCUUCUUCGCAAAUAGCCAUUGGAAGGAGAGCUGACUUUGACAAAGACUGCCUGUCCCUGAAAACACCCGCCCAAAUGUGGACUGUAACAAGAUGCCUGGACUGGAGGAAAGUUAUUGUAGUUCGUAAAAAAACAAACAAUAUAUUAGACUAAAUAUUUCACAACAUUCUCCUAUAUUCUGUGCCCCAGCUCAGCUGUCUUUUAGAGUUGUAAUGAGUGUAUUUCACCAGUAGACAGAGACAUUUCUUCUCUUUUACGAUCAGUGUACUGGUCCAUAGGGAAGAUAAUGCUAGCUAGCAUUAAGCCAUUUUCUUUAAUAUGUAGGCAUUUACUGUCAUUAAGGCAAUGACAGCCUGAGGAGUUGGUUAUUAUUGUGAGUUAUCUGGAAGGUAUGGAUGACUGGUCAUCAACAAAGUCCACUUUACAGUUUGCCCAAAUCAAAUCCCCAUUCUCGCAGAAAGAAGAAUUAAUGCUAAAUGGCUGGGGAAUGUCCCAACAGCUUCCAGUGGUUAGGCUAAGACAUACAAUGCAUUCAGAAAGUAUUCAGACCCCUUGACUUUUUCCAUGUUACAGCAUUAUUCUAAAAUUGAUGAAAUUGUUUCCCCCCUCCUCAAUCUAUGCACAAUACUCCAUAAUGGGUAUAACUGGCCAAGCUUCCUGCCAUCCAGGACCUCUAUACCAUGGAGAGUCGGAGGACGGCCCUGAAAAGACUCCAGCCACCCCAGUCAUAGAUCGUUCUCUCUGCUUCCACACAGCAAGCGGUUCUAAACAGCUUCUACCCCGAAGCCAGAAGACUCCUGAACAUCUAAUCAAAUGGCCACCCAGACUAUUUGCAUUGCCCCCCCCCCCCUUACACCACUGCCACCCUCUGUUAUUAUCUAUGCAUAGUCACUUUAAUAACUCUACCUACAUGUACAUAUUACCUCAAUUACAUCAACUAACCGGUGCCCCCGCACAUUGACUUUGUAUCAGUACCACCUGUAUAUUUUUUAAUUUUACCUUUAUUUAACUAGGCAAGUCAGUUAAGAACAAAUUCUUAUUUUCAAUGACGGCCUAGGAACAGUGGGUUAACUUCUAUAUAUAUCUGUAUAUAGUCUCACUAUUGUUAUUUUACUGCUGCUCUUUAAUUACUUGUUAUUUAAUAUCUUAUUCAUAUUUUUUAAACUGCAUUGUUGGUUAGGGGCUUGUAAGUAAGCAUUUCACUGUGAGGUCUACACCUGUUGUAUUCAGCAUUUCACUGUAAGGUCUACACCUGUUGUAUUCAGCAUUUCACUGUAAGGUCUACACCUGUUGUAUUCAGCAUUUCACUGUAAGGUCUACACCUGUUGUAUUCAGCAUUUCACUGUGAGGUCUACACCUGUUGUAUUCAGCAUUUCACUGUGAGGUCUACACCUGUUGUAUUCAGCAUUUCACUGUAAGGUCUACACCUGUUGUAUUCAGCAUUUCACUGUAAGGUCUACAACCUGUUGUAUUAGGCGCAUGUGACUAAUAAAAUGUGAUUUGAUUUGAA